GGGGGGGGAGAAAAACGCUUUCUGGAACAUUCUUUUCCUCUUGGAAAGCUGCAUAAAACAGGAUAGGAAUGAAUAGAGCUGAAUUUGUUAAAUUUUAAGGCAAUGAUGUAGGCAAGCCAGAUGUUUCCUGGACAUCUGGGAUCUCUAACAGAUGUAAGUGGCUGUGGCUGAGGUCAGCAGUGCUCUUAGAGUUGGGUGGGCUCCACGUGUGCUCAGUAAUGAGGAGCUGCUGUCCAGUGUUUGUUGCAGGCUCUGGCUGAUGAUCUUGGUGAGGUGUCUGGGAGAGGUGUGAUUUGUGCCAGGGUAUGUACUGUGCCUGGGGGGUUGGAGGAGUAGCGGGGUGAUGGCCAAAUGUGGGAGGCUCUGACAAGGCGAGAAAUGCUUCGGGUGCUCAGCCUCAUUCCUUGAAUCAAGGGAACUGUUAUGUCCUUGGAGGCUGGAAUAAUAACCCACAAGCUGUGAGGGGAGUAUGGGUGAGCUGACAGGGCUAUGCAGUACAGCAGAAGGAUGGCCCUGGACAGUGCUUACAUAGCUGAGGGCUGUUCCCCCUCAAAGCAUUGCUGAGCAGCUUAAACCUCACUUACAUCUGAGUUUGUUAAAUAAUAGCCCUACCCUGAUGGUCUUCUGUGACAUUUUGUCCUCUGGAAGCAGAUGUUCGUUGGACAGGGUGGAAGUUGGCUGGGGAUGGCCCACGUGCAGUGAAGCUGGCUAUGGGAUAUCUGGAAGGAAGUGUCAGUGGGGUGCAUGGGAACAGGCUGUCAUGCAAACUGGGAGCUCUCCAUCAAAAGUAAUGGCUGUAGAGACGCCUGCUGCAACCUCAGAGCCUCUUCUGAUCUUGUUACCAUGUUCAGGCUUCUGGAGGCAGUGAGAUCACAACAGCUCGACUUCCUUCUGUGGGCAAACAAGAAAGAGCUCUUCCUGUUGUGACCUUGUGUUUCUCUCCUGCCCUUGGUGGUGUUUGUGUCAGCAUUGCCCUGACCCUACUCAUGGUGGCUGAUGUGUUUCCUCGAUGUGGUCAGUGGGCACAGUGGGGCUGUGGUUGGACUGCAUCACCUUUUCCAACCUUAAUGCUUCUGUGAUUCUAUGAAAGCUUGGCUCUUGCCUUGGACAACCCCAGGAGGUCUUUCCCAGCUCCAUCCAAGUCCUUCUCCCAGGCUGAGACUUCAGGAAUUGGGCUUCUAAAUAUCACAGGAUUGAUCUGAACACCGCGACUCAUUCAUUUUUAAAUACCAGUUCUUAGAUGCUUAUCCUCUGCUGUUAGGUAUGCAUCCCCGAGCCUCUCCGGGUAUAUACGAGGCCUUGAAAUUUAAUCCUUAAAGAACGUGUUAAAAAUUCAGUCCUUCGUGCGUGGCUCUGUGAUUUUGGAGGCUGAGGUUUGGAGGAAAAAGCAAACAUGGGGAGCACGUGGUGGGACAGCAAGGCAGCGAGGCACGGCACGGAGUGGCACAGCGUGGCAUGCAGGUGGGGUCACCCAGCUGGGAAAGGGACCACCUGGUGCUCACAAAGCUGAGGAUCUGCUGCUUCUUUUCCUCUCUGUUAAGCAAAGGCAAAACCCUCUGCUUCCUUCGGGGCGAAGCACUCUGUGCGCGCAGGGAUUCCUGCUUGGGGAAAGGAGCCAGAGAACACAUUGAAAGCCUGUACAUGCGUGGGGUGCGUUUCUGGAGGGAUUUGUGCCUCCUGGGGAACCUUCAAAGGCAUCCACAAGCCCCCAGCGUGCUGCUGUGGCUGCUGAGGGAUGGGGCAGCCCUGAGCUCGGUACCACCAGCACCAAACUCCUGGGGCUCCGGAGGCACAGCCAGAGGUCCCUUCUCCCUCCAUGCCCCCGCCUUGCUGAUUUCCAGCACCUGCCCCAAAGGAUCUGCUGUCCCACAGCACCGUUGCUGCUGGGCUGGACUGCUUUAUGACACACAGCCUUUGCACUGCCCCAGCUGGAAUGCCCACCUCCAGCCUGUAUGUCAGCUACAGCCGCCUGCAGAGCUGUGCUUGUGCCGGGGUAACACUCGCCAGCUCCCAGGCGCAAAGGUGGAAAGGCAGAGGACAGCUAGAAACAACCCGGGAAAGCAGCUGCUUAGAAUAGAAAGAGGUGUGUAACCAUGGCUUCGGCUCUGUGCUGCGUGCCUGAAAUGCAGAUGUCUGCCACUGGCUCUGCUGGGCCAGAGCCGGCAGCCGCAUAAAGGGACCAGGAAAGCACUGGGGUCCCAGGCUGGGGGUGGUGCUCAGUUUGGUGUGAUGGCCACGAAUGAUCCCCAGCUCCAGACCCAGCAUCCCCAUCUGCAGUGAAGGAGCCUUCCUGGGCGUUGCUGUCCCCACCACAGGAUGUGGAAGCCCCAGCUGUGUGCCAUCCAGCCCUUCCACCCCUCCAGCAUCCCCACCACGGAGGGAAUUACCCCAGGCAGGAACCGGCGCAUGCUGAGAAUGAGAAUUCAAUGUCUGAAUGCCUUCAGUUCCUUCCUCCAAAUAAAUCACUGAGUGACUCUAAUUACUGUGCUCGCCCUGCGUACACACCAGCUUCAUACAGAAAAUGAGUGCAGAAGGAUUUAUGACUGCUGAUUCUUGAUCUUUCAUUUUUGAUAUUAAAGCAUGUUUAAUUCAUCGCAACAUAGAUUAAAAUAAGGGAGGCCGCGGAUGGACUCUGGGUGUGUUUAGGAAUUUGGUUGCUGCGCUGCCUGCCUUGCAGCAGGACUGCUUGUCCUCCCUUCUGAGCCCACCCGAGCUUGGGAUGUGCCUGAUUCCUAUUUCAUGUAACCACCCCACCUCCUCCAGCUGUGGAUCUGCGGCUGUUUGGACAGCAGUACUGGAGAGAACGGUCACCAAGAGGUUAUUUCUCCGGGAGGGACAGCUCGCAGCCUCAUUAGAUGCAACAGGAGU
ensembl:lncRNA